rnacentral:rRNA from 1 species
GACGAACGCUGGCGGCGUGCCUAAUACAUGCAAGUAGAACGCAGUUGCGAACGGGUGAGUAACGAGUAGGUAAAUGCCUCAUAGCGGGGGAUAACUAUUGGAAACGAUAGAUAAUACAGCAUACUGUGAGAUGGACCUGCGUUGUAUUAGCUAGUUGGUGAGGUAAAGUCGCACAAAGGAGACGAUACAUCUCCGACCUGAGAGGGUGUCCGGCCACACUGUGACGGAGACACGGCCUAGAGUCCUACGGGAGGCAGCAGUAGGGAAUCGUCGGCAAUGGACGAAAGUCUGACCGAGCAACGCCGCGUGAGUUAAGAAGGUUUUCGGAUCGUAAUUCUCUGUUGUUAGAGAAGCGGUAUCUAACCAGAAAGCCACGGCUAACUACGUGCCAGCAGCCGCGGUAAUUC